GUGACACGAUGAACCCAACUUCGUGGGGCUGGGCCAAAAGGCCGGAGCUUGGAGAGGGGACAUUUCUGCGCUUGACUUCGGGCUAUGGACUCUGCCCGGUGGAGACCAUUGUACCCCAUACGGAUGGAGAGGUUACACCUAUUGUAUCUGUAUGGUGGUGAUAUUAUACCAUGAGGUGCAUCUCUUUCUGGUGAAGGAAAUCCCAAAAUAUUUCACCCCAAAAUAUGGCUCCCUGGUAUAGUGAGUAUUUUGAAUUCAACACCCUUAGAGAUCAAUAAACUGGAAGAAACUUUCCCCCUUCUACAAAAAGAAAGGACUGAAUCACCAAGGAGAACAGUUGUUCUUGUUCGCCCGUUAUCUCAUUACCCUUCACAGCAAAGAAGACCCAGAAUGUAACCACAUCUGAACAGACUCUUUCAAGACAGUGACUGUUGCCAAGGAUCAUAUAAAUUCCAAAGAAUUUUACAAGUUACUUUCUGUUCCCCAUCCAAUCGUUCUCCCUAGUAAUCAUUUAUAAUCCCUCAAUAGAAUUCUUCUCCCUCUCCCAUAAGCCCCCAUUCUGUCUGUAACCUCGAGGUAGUAUAUAAGUUUCUGGACUUCACUGGAGGGGGUCUAGUCUUUAUUCUGAAGGCUGUCAUGUAUACCUGUUAAGAAUGAUAGAGAAGAUGUCUUGGGUGAAUAUUAUGAUAUAUAAAUUAUAUCUCGAUUUUUAAAAAAUUGAGGCCAGGCACAGUGGCUCACAACUGUACAGUCUCGGCACUUUGGGAGGCCGGGGCGGGUGGAUCAUGAGGUCAGGAGUUCAAGACCAGCCUGGCCAAGAUGGUGAAACCCCGUCUCUACUAAAAACAGAAAAAUUAGCCCGGCGUAGUGGCGGGCGCCUGUAAUCCCAGCUAUUCAGGAGGCUGAGGCAGAGAAUUGCUUGAACCCAGGAGGCGGAGGUUGCAAUGAGCCGAGAUCGUGCCACUGUACUCCCGCCUGGGCGACGAGUGAGACUCCAUCUCAAAAAAAUAAAUAAUAAAAACUGAGAUUUUUUAAUCUCAAAGAUUGAGAUCAGUUCCGUGUUAAGUGAUGUGUUCAGUGCUGGCAGCUUGAUGUUGGCCAUGGUGAGAGUACUUAUAGCACAGAAAUUGGUAAAUGUUAUAAACUUGGGCUUGAUUUAUAUAUUUUUUCAUUGUCUAGUGUCUCUAGACUUAAAAAAAAUAGAGAAGAUGCCUUGGGUCAAUAUUAUGGUAUGUAAAUUAUAUCUCAAUUUUUAAAAAAGUGUGUUGCAUCUGUAGCCAUUAUAAUAGGAAUAGUACAAAAAAUUGAGGAAAUAUUUGUUCAGCAUUCAGAAACUACCACUUGAUUAAACAAAGUUACUCAUGUUUUCAGUGAAGUUCUGACAUACAUCUUUGACUUGUUUCCCUUUCAUCUUACAUGUUAACGUGAAAGAAAUUAUCAACCACAUUUGUGUUGAAGCUAUGCUCAUUUGUCAGUUGCAAGCCUAGGUUGGCUACAAAUACACCAGCAAAAAAAUCAAUGAGCUUUCUGCAAGAAUCAAUUGGUUGUAUGGAUUUUACAAUAAUUGUUAUUGUAUGUUUUAUUAUUUAUAAAUUGUUACUGAUGAUAAAGAGUCAAACUCUGGCCAGGUGUGGUGGCUGACACCUGCAAUCCUGACACUUUGGGAGGCCAAGGUCGAGGGAUCACUUGAGGUCAGGAGUUUGAGACCAGCCUGGGCAAUGUAGCAAGACCCCGUCUCUACAAAAAAUAAAAAAUUAGCCAGGUGUGGUGGCAUGUGCCUGUAGUCCCAGCUACUCAGGAGGCUGAGGCAGGAGGAUCACUUGAGGUUGCAGUGAGCCAUAGUCAUACUACUGUACUCCAGCCUGAGGGACAGCGUAAGACCCUGUCUCAGAAGGAAAAAAAAGCAUAUCCAGCUGCAACUUGGGUAUUUCCCAGCCACCAGGUCACACACCACACCAACGCAGAGGGUGGGGCCCUGGAACUCAGGAGGGGGCGUGAUCCAGGGUGCUCUCUUAGCCACAGGAUCCCAUGGUACUGCUGAAGGGGGCUGUGGCUUGGGAUUGGCUGUGGAGGUGAGCAGGGUCUUAGCGUUGAAAGCAGCUGAUGGAGUAACAGGACCACGGGGGAGAGUGAGGGGAAGGCCAGC
rnacentral:lncRNA from 1 species